CUUGACUAGAUUUAUGAUGACAUGGGACCUUGUCUGAACACAAUGAUUUCAAAAAUUGAGCUUAGAGUGACUCUGAAAUCUAGUCAAUGUGCCUCACUAUAUUAUAUUGCUUACUGUUCACAAUAGAAUAUUUUCUUAGGUGGGCAUAUUGGUACAUACUUCUAAUAACAGCACAUGGGGUGCUGUGAUGAGGAGAUUGAUAUUUUCCAGGCCCAAUUACUAAAGGAAAGCAAAUAGUCAUAUUUGAAAUGACAACAUUCCAUCCUCAGAAUGGGAAGAUGUAGUGCACAGUUUUCUACUUUAUCUAAUAUCUUUUAUAUAAAUAUUUUGUCUUUUUGCCUUUUAUAUUUGUUGAAAGCAAAAAUGAAAUGUCCUUGGAUCACAAAAGGCAUAGGCACCAGCUGACAUGGAUAACUAUAAAAUGGAAUUUCCAACUCAUGAAAAGAAUCAAAAGCACCUUUCUAUAUUUGUAAGUUAUAUCAAUCAGAAGAAAAGGGUAAUAUUUAUGGAGUAUGUAUAUUAUGGAAUGUGAUUUCUAUUUGUAUUCCUGAUUUAUAAAUUAUAAAGUAAUAAUUGAAGAUUUCUGCAAGUGAAUUAAUGUAAACUGUACAUGCUUGGAAAUUGUCACGAUACCAUCUAGAAUGAGCAUUUUUAAGCAAACAGAAAACAUGUUCAGGAAGAAUGUUAAAAUUCUAAUACUUGUAAAUAGAAGAUGACAUUUCACUGCCUUUGUGCUUCAUGAGUGCUUUUGAAAUAACCAUCAAAACAAGAAGAAAAUAUUGAAAAGGCAAUUUGUGCCAAUACUUUUGUCAACCUCCUGGGAGUACUGGACUGCCUAUCCAAGUCUAUAUGCCUUUAUGGUUUUUCAAUUUGUGAAGAAUGUAAGAAACUUCAGAGUCUUAUCAGCAAAGUGUAGUACAUUAUCUAACAGAAAAGAGAAGAUAAAGUUUUUGGUGCUCAUGAUGACGUACUAGCCCUAACCUGAGUACAGCUGAUGGAAGUGUAAGAAAAUAUACAUUCCUGAAAACUCGAAGUGGUUAUCAAAUCUUGGUUCUACAGCUGACAUAAUGAUCUGAAAGGUUGCAGAGAGUAAACACUCUUGUGAAUCAUCAUAAUAGAGCUCAGAUAUUUGAAUAGAGACUGGAAUUUUGAUUUGAAGACAAUUUAUAAAUAUUUUCUGAUUGUUAAUUUGGAAUUAACUCAAGAAGUAGAGACACUACUACAUGGAUAAUGAUUGAAUUGACAUUGGCAUCGUCUCAAUGUUUUCAUAAGUAUGAAGUAUAUUUCAUGAUACUUUUAAAGUUAAUUAUAGAGAUUGUUUUCAAUGAUUUUCUAUUUAUUAAAGGGUUUAAGUAAUGCGUAGCAUAUUCUGAUUUGAGUGGUGACAUUAUAGAAAUAUACCAUUUACAGUUAGAACUGUAUGGUGCUUUACUUUUAUAGUGCAUUCCAAACUUGGGGUUUUCUGGUACAUACAGUUUUAGCUUAUUUUUAAAUAAUUCCAUCUUUUUAUCGGUCAAGAUAAUAGCUUCAAAGUUACAUGUCAAAUUUCUUUUACUUUGAAAUGCAUUGGCUAUGUAUACAAGGUCGACAUUUGAUUAAAUGCCUUAGCAUUUACCAGGACUAUCAUUUAUAUAUUUAUGUAUGUAUUUAUGUAUGUAUUUAUGUAUUCACUAUUAAAGUAUUAAAUCAUUACAUUACUCAUUUCAUUGUCUUGUUUGAGUUUCCAUGCUGAGUAUCUACAUUUGUGCAUUUGUAAUCGAG
ensembl:lncRNA